GUCUCAAUCUCAAUCUGAUCUGUGCAGGUGAAGAGGAGCAGGGGUCCAUGGCAGAGGUGUCCUACUACUCCUACGAAUACGACCAGGACUCGGAGCAUUUCCUCGCUGAUGCAGAUGGAGGAGACCAGUUUGACCUUCCUGACGGGGGGGCGGACGUAGAGCAGAAGGUUCUCCUGCCGGCAGACACCCAGCUACCCACACUGGACAUAAAAAACACCCCUGAGCGAUGAGACGCCGACUGAGCGAAGCCAUACUCGCCUUCAAAUUGUACAUUAUUUGUGAAUAUGCUAGUGAAUGGAAAGAGAAGAGAGACUUGGGACGGGUGCAGCCUGAGAGGAAGAGAUAAUGGAGUCUGGAGUGUGUGUGUGUGUGUGUGUGUGUGUGUGUGUGUGUGUGUGUGUGUGUGUGUGUGUGUGUGUGUGUGUGUGUGUGUGUGUGUGUGUGUGUGUGUGUGUGUGUGUGUGUGUGUGUGUGUGUGUGUGUGAUAGUGUCCUCCAGACUGUUGUUGUUCUUCCUGCAGACUCCUGGUCACCAAUAGGCACCAUAGCAUCUUUGUUAUUCACUGUACUGCCAUUAUAAUCACUAGAAUAAAUAAUCAAGUAUUUAUGUUUGUAAUUACACCUGACUUUAAGCAAAACAUAUUUUGUUAUAUUUUCUAUCUGUGGUAUUUAUUUUUAGCUAGAUGUCAUAUCAUUUUUAUUAUAUUCUAUUGUCAACGCCCCUCCCAUACUCUCUGCCCUACAUUCAAAAGACAUGUGCUGUCAAAGGCUUUUACCUUCUUCCAUAGCAAGCUUUAACCCAAUUAUUGAAAUGUUUGAUGAAAUUCCUGUGCUGGUAUCCUGCUGGAAGAAGACAUAUGCUAACCAUAUGCUUCACCGAAACAUAAGCUCAAAUGUUUUUCAGUUUAAAGAUUAGUUUGGGCUUCUUGCCUUUGUCAUACAGCGCAGCACAGAUCGACACAUUAAGACAGAGAAGGAGACAUGACACAAACCCUCUGUGCGACACAAACUGGUCGUACGCAGACACCAUCAACAUUUACUCUCAAGUCACUCUCUCUUUCUACCUUGAGAUUUGAUUGUACAGUUCAUAAGCUAUUUUGUUUUUGUUCAAUUUUGAUUCGUGAAGCAAUCAACUUAAAAAAGAAAUCAAGAAUGAAGUUUUGAAUCUCUGUCAAUUUACCAAAUUUGAUUAAAUGUAGCCCCGAUUCAUAACAAAAAUGUGCUUUUUAAGACAAACGAGAAUAAAAUUUGUAUACAAUCCAAA